UACAGAGGGGGCAAGCGUUGUUCGGAAUUACUGGGCGUAAAGGGCGCGUAGGCGGCCUUCUAAGUCGAACGUGAAAUCCCCGGGCUCAACCCGGGAACUGCGUCCGAUACUGGAAGGCUUGAAUCCGGGAGAGGGAUGCGGAAUUCCAGGUGUAGCGGUGAAAUGCGUAGAUAUCUGGAGGAACACCGGUGGCGAAGGCGGCAUCCUGGACCGGCAUUGACGCUGAGGCGCGGAAAGCCAGGGGAGCAACGGG
rnacentral:rRNA from 1 species